rnacentral:rRNA from 1 species
UCUUAAAAUCAUUGUAUCAAUGGUUCUUGAGAUAACGUAAGGGAUAAAAAUGAUAGUACCUUACUAUAAGUGUUGUCCAACUAUACUGGUGCCAGAAGACUCGGUAACGCCAGAAACGCAAACGUUAGUCGUCCUAAUCAGGCGUAAAGGGUAAGUAGGCUGCUUUGAAAGUUGUUAAUUAGAAAGCUCUUUAAAAAUUGUUUAAAGUAAUUAAUAAUGAAUUAAAGCUAGAAUCAAAUAGGGGAUAAGCCAAAUAAUAUUUAGUGUAAGGCUAAUAUCUUUAGAUACUAAAUGGAAUACUUAAGGU